rnacentral:misc_RNA from 1 species
GUGUGAGAAUUCAAUUGAAUUCUCUUCUAUUCCAAACAAAGCUUUUGUGAGUUUUCAGAAGCCAUAGCAAGAAUUUGUGGGUUAAAAAUACUCAUAUUAGCAACUGUACUCUUGUCAAGAACAUUUUUGAGUUUGAAACCACUAUGAACUGAUGGCUGACAAUGACAGGGAAGAUCUUCAGAGAGCUAAGCAACAUAAAUUGAAUUUUAAUUUUAAACAAUGAAAUCUGAAAAUUAUGC